GAUGAACGCUGGCGGCGUGCCUAAUACAUGCAAGUCGAGCGAACGGACGAGAAGCUUGCUUUUCUGAUGUUAGCGGCGGACGGGUGAGUAACACGUGGAUAACCUACCUAUAAGACUGGGAUAACUUCGGGAAACCGGAGCUAAUACCGGAUAAUAUUUUGAACCGCAUGGUUCAAAAGUGAAAGACGGUCUUGCUGUCACUUAUAGAUGGAUCCGCGCUGCAUUAGCUAGUUGGUAAGGUAACGGCUUACCAAGGCAACGAUGCAUAGCCGACCUGAGAGGGUGAACGGCAACACUGGAACUGAGACACGGUCCAGACUCCUAAGGGAGGCAGCAGUAGGGAAUCUUCCGCAAUGGGCGAAAGCCUGACGGAGCAACGCCGCGUGAGUGAUGAAGGUCUUCGGAUCGUAAAACUCUGUUAUUAGGGAAGAAAAUAUGUGUAAGUAACUGUGCACAUCUUGACGGUACCUAAUCAGAAAGCCACGGCUAACUACGUG
rnacentral:rRNA from 1 species